rnacentral:SRP_RNA from 2 species
CUGUGCUAGGUGGGGAGCUAGCGGUGCCCUAUACUCGCAAUCCGCUACAGCGAGACUGAAUUCCCUAUGAAGGUCAAUUUGAUUCACCAAUGUUUUUUUGGUUCGAUGUUGAAAGUUGGGUCCUACGCGACGAAAGCUUACCUAACCCCGUCAGGUCCGGAAGGAAGCAGCGGUAAGUAAGUCAUUUCGGGUGCCGUGGGAUCGCCUGACUUGAGUCGAUCUAUUAAUUUAAGUGCAAUCGAAGAGGUCGACUGUGGGUGCGCAG